UACGUAGGGUGCAAGCGUUGCCCGGAUUUAUUGGGCGUAAAGGGCGCGUAGGCGGCUCGGCACGUCCGUUGUGAAAUCGCCCGGCUCAACUGGGCGGGGUCAGCGGAUACGGCCGAGCUUGAGCAAGCUAGGGGGCAAUGGAAUUCCAGGUGUAGCGGUGAAAUGCGCAGAUAUCAGGAGGAACACCGAUGGCGAAGGCAGCUCGCUGGGACGGUAUUGACGCUGAGACGCGAAAGCGUGGGGAGCAAACAGG
rnacentral:rRNA from 1 species